CCUGCACCCAUGGUGGAUCUGCUCCACGGACACGCACUGGAGCUCUGACCUGCACCAUCCAGCAUCACGGCGGCGCCCAACGCCAACCACUUCAAUCUGGAGUAGGGAAAUCACAUCCCCAAUAGGGUUUGACCUGUAAGCCAAAAGAACACACACACAGAGGGGGAUUAGAGAGUUGAGGCUGAAAUUCAUGGGGAUAAUAUGGGGAUUCACGUCAGGGGAGAGAGAGUGUGGAGGAUCUAGCAGCGGCAUCUUUCCCGUCGCUGGCGGCGGUGCCGAUCUGGGCAAGGAGCAGAGGAGCAUCAGUUUGUAUUAUUACUUGUGUUC
rnacentral:rRNA from 1 species